rnacentral:rRNA from 1 species
UGCCUGCAGCUCGAGUGGUAACCGCUUUUAUUGGGCCUAAAGCGUCCGUAGCCGGUUUGGUAAAUAUCUGGGUAAAUCGUGAGGCUUAACUUCACGAAUUUCGGAUAGACUGCCAGACUUGGGAUCGGGGGAGGUCAGAGGUACUCCAGGGGUAGCGGUGAAAUGUUGUAAUCCUUGGAGGACCACCGGUAGCGAAGGCGUCUGACUAGAACGAGUCCGACGGUGAGGGACGAAGCCCUGGGGCGCAAACCGGAUUAGAUACCCGGGUAGUCCAGGGUGUAAACGAUGUGGGCUUUGUAUUGGAGGUCCCACGUGGGCGUCCAGUGCAGAAGAGAAGUUGUUAAGCCCGCCGCCUGGGAAGUACGGUCGCAAGGCUGAAACUUAAAGGAAUUGGCGGGGGAGGCACAGCAACGGGAGGAGCGUGCGGUUU